UAAAUGUUGUCUGAUUUGAAGAAAAAUUGUAAAUUGUCAAGUAUCCAAAGAAGUUUUUUAUUAAACAAAAAAAAUUGUAAAUUGUCAAGUACAAAAACAAUAAAGGCGCCACGAAAAAAACGAGCAAAAACACAUAUAUUUAUACAUGUAUAUUACUCUCAUAAAUCAUUUGGGAUUGUAGAAAAAAUAGAAUGUUCUGGUUUGUGAUGGCAUUCAAAAUCGAGGUGAACAAAAGCUCUUUCCACUUCUGGAAGUUCUUCAAGCUUUAUUUGCAAUGAUUCACCAAUUGCAUGAGCUUCUUUUAAUGGUAAAUCCUCUGGAAGUUCUAUAUCCACCUGCCAAAACACAUAUAUAAUAACAUAUGUUAAACUUAAUUACGAAUUAACCAAACCUCAUAAAUUUAUGAUGUAAUAUAAAUUAUGCAGUGGUCAAGUGCAUUUAGAAAUUGACAUCUAAAUUUUAACUAUAUGUUUGCAACAUGAAUGUGUUUACAUACAUAGACAUACCUCAACAAAGUAAAGAACACCAAAGGUAUAGGCACGAACGGUAUCAACACGUUUGAUGUUAUCGGCGCCUUGUCGCAACACUAGAUAUGUCAACUUCUGUAAUACUUCCGGUGGAGCUGAUUGUCCGAUCAAUGAGACUACACAUAUACAAAACACAUAAUGAUAAAUAACCCAAUCUUAGACCACAUGCUAAACGCAUCGAGAGCUUGAGGAAUACGAUUCAAAGGUCUCCUUUUACUAUACCGAUGGAAGAAAUGAUUAGACGUAUACAGAGUAGGUUUGAGAGGGACUCAGCCCCUGUCCCUGAUUUUAGCAACCGGGAGGCUUCAGAAAGAGUGAACGAUCGAGCCAACUCGAUUCUUAACCGGUUGAUGACUUCUAGAGGAGUUAGAUCAGAGCAGAACCAGGCUAGUGCUGCUGCAGCAACAGCAUCAGAGGAUAUCAAUCUGAACCCGGACAUUGCUGCUCCUGAUCUUGAAGGAGAGACCACCACGAGAUUCCAUCCUCUGUUGAUCAGGAGACAGCUACAGUCACAUAGAGUCGCAAGGAUCUCGAACUUCACUUCUGCGUUGAGUUCUGCUGAGCGGCUUGUAGACGCGUAUUUUAGAACGCAUCCACUGGGGAGGAACCACAACCACCAAGAGCUGAACCAUCAUUCUCCUGUUGUGGUUGAUGAUAGAGACUCUUUCUCAAGCAUUGCAGCUGUUAUAAACUCUGAGAGUCAAGUGGAUACUGCGGUUGAGAUUGAUUCCAUGGUCACUCUUUCGACGUCUUCUUCGAGGAGAAGGAAUGAGAAUGGGUCGAGAGUUUCUGAUGUUGACAGUGCUGAUUCUCGCCCGCCUAGGAGAAGGAGAUUUACUUGAAAAACUAAAGCUUUCAGUCUGUGGAAGAUGAUGAUGAUGAAGAGGAAGAUUGUAACUGUAUUUUUCUUUUUCUUGUGUCGCUUGUUGGUUUGUUGUAUUUUGAUUUGUAAUUUUCGCAAUAGGGAUGGUAUUUUACUAUUUUUAAUCAAAGUUUUAUUAUCUUUUUUUCAGAAACUUUAUUCUGAUUGAACCUGGCAAUAGUUUCUCAACCCAUUGAAUCCAAUGUGGAAUGUGUUUCUUAUUUGACUAGUAGUGGACACCAUCAUGCAAGAUGCAUCUUAGGUGUAUAUCUAAUCAUCUUUGCACAUAAAACGCCAACGCCAACAUUCAAAUUGCAUUUUAAUGCUUUUAUAAAAAUGUAAAAUCAUUAACAAAAUGUAUAAGAAAUCAACAACCUUCUUAAGACAGCCAUGUAGGCAAAAGAAUGGAAUAGCAUGUACAUCCACUUUUGUGAAGUUUAUAAUCGAUCAGAUAGUAUCGCGUUAAUCAUCGUGCAAACAAGUCGCUUUGGCCGAGUGGUUAAGGCGUGUGCCUGCUAAGUACAUGGGGUUUCCCCGCGAGAGUUCGAAUCUCUCAGGCGACGAGUGUUUUUAUUAUUUCUUUUUGAAAUAUUACUUUCCCCUUGCGCCGUAACUCGCAACCUUUUUGUUCUCGAAACAAAAAACAAGAUACUUUGAGCAGUGUACAUGUCACAUGCGAGCAGCAACACCCGACACGUAAAUUAUUCUUUUGAAUGAUCUACUCUCAUAUGUUUCUUGUCAAUUAUUUCAGUGCUGGUUUGAACAUCAUUCUUAUUUUUUUAGUACAUAUUCCAACUUUUUUGACAAUACAAUAACCACCGCAUAAAAUACAAUCGCAGAAACGGACAUCUUCAAAACCAUUUUCAGGCUUUCAGCAUUUAUAAUCAAAAUAGCAUAUAAAUUGUAAACUUGUAAUGGUCUGUUUUACUAAAAACUGGUUGACAAUUUCUUAAAAUUAGAAGAAAAAAAAAUUACAAGUCUAAAUUUCGUGAAGAAAAUUACGUCAGCGGCAGGUAUAUAUAUAUAUAUAUAGAGAGAGCUUUAUUCGGUUUAAAGCCAAAUUUUAAAACAAAGAUAAAAACAAAAUGAAAAUGAUGUGUGCGGGAAACGAGCGUCGUCUCGUUACUCGAUGCAAGAAUCGAGCCAAUAAGAUAUUUUGAUUUUUAGAAUUAGUUAUUAGAGCUUUUCGUAAUUGGUCAUUACUUUCAUAGUUUCGUAACAAGAGUUGACUUUUGGAGUCUCAUUUCAACGUCUUUACCUGCUCUUUACUGCUUCUUUUGUUUUUACUCAUAAUAAUCAUAUGUAAUCUACGUAGUUUAAAUUUUUUGUUUGGUUAGAACUUAAAAACAUGAAAGAUACGAAAAUAAAAGUAAUCGAGCGUUAUAAGUUGUAAACACAAACGCAGAUAGUAAUAAUUAGUAAGAUAGUACAAAAUCUAAUAAAGUAUAAAUAAUUGUAAUUAAGGGGAGAUUAAUAUAGUACUAGUAUUGCUUAAAUAAAAGGAGCCAAACACCACCACCAUGGUUAAUUGUGAUGAUUCGGUGUGGUUUUUUUAAAAAAGUGGAAAAAAGACAAAACAGAGACCACCACCAUUAAUGACUUUCAUUCGAUACCAACAAGACAUGACUCUCCUCCCGUCUCUUUUCAUUUUCUGAGUGACCCAGAAUUUUUUUUCAUUCUUUCAAAAAUCCGUCGAUAUCUCGUUUUGAUUUGAAUCUGAAACAAACAAAACACCUAUAAACACGUGAACAGUCUGCUGUUUUGUUUCCAGGUAAUGAUCUUUUUUUUUCUUUUUUUUUUUUAAUUUGAGGUCUUUUUGUCUGAAAUCGAGAAAAAGAUCGAUAAAUCACCAAAUUCCGAAAUUGGGUUCUCGGGUCAAUGAUUUAUGUUAAUAUGAAUCAUCGUGUGACGAAUAUAUCUCAAAAGGUCAAAACUUUCGAGAUUUUUUUUUUGAGAACCCUUUCUCUGUUUUGUUGUCUUUGAAACUUUUGAUUUGAUGGAUUGUUUGUUUGAAAUUGUUUCUUAGGGUAAAGAGAAUGUUGAGAUAAAUGACAUUGAGGUUUGCAUUUCUUUACAGAGAUUUCUGCUUAAAACGUGGUUUGAAUUUAAAAGUUUAAAAACUUUGUUUUUUUUUUUUGGUUUAAAACCUUGCUUGCACGAUCUUUUAUUAGCUGUCAUAGAGUUAGAUUUGCUGAUUCUUGUCCUAGUUAGAUCUCUAUUAUUCUGUUUCUCUGUCUAUUUAGAUUGAAUAAUAAUUAUCUCUGCAAAGAAAAUAGUUAUAUAUUUUUUUCUUUUUGUUGAUGUUUGAUAGUUCUGCCAUUCAUUACUGUUCGUUCAUUGGAAUGGUGCAAAGCAUUGUUCAUAGCUUUGGUACCUAUCUGAAAGUGCAUUAAAUAUUUUUGCUUCAAUUCUUUGUUUACUUUUGAGUUGUUUUAUUUUAUACUUUAGUUGCUUUAGGAAGCUAACACAUCACAUAAGUCUACUUUUUUCUCAGUAUCAAGUUAUGUGAUUGCUAAUUUUAUGUUGUUUUUGAUUCCUUUUUUUUUUUACUCUUGCAGCAUAACAAAUAGAUCCAAAAGGAGCAAAUCAUCUGACUACAAGUGAAAGAACAAAGGCAUUUCACUCACCAUGGCUCCUGGAGGCAGUGCUUUGAAAGAAGUCCUUGAAUCCACUUCGACUGGAAUGGACUACGAGGUUAAAAUAGCAAAAGCGGAAGCUAAUAAUAACAAUAACAAACCUACAAAGUCAGGCAUCGCAGGGAGUGGAAAGUAUGGCAUGCAUUCAAACAAUGGUGUCUACGAGCUUCUUGAAUGUCCAGUGUGCACAAACUUAAUGUACCCUCCAAUUCAUCAGGUUCGUCUCUCACUUUCUAUCUCCCUGUUAAAAGUUUUGUAAUUGCAAAGCGUAACGUUGUUUAAAUUCUACAGUGUCCAAAUGGCCACACCUUAUGUUCAAACUGCAAAGCGAGAGUGCAGAACACUUGCCCUACAUGUCGUUACGAGCUUGGUAACAUAAGAUGCUUAGCUCUGGAGAAAGUUGCAGAGUCCUUGGAAGUUCCAUGCCGGUACCAGAGUUUGGGCUGUCAUGACAUUUUUCCUUACUACAGCAAGCUUAAACACGAGCAGCACUGCAGGUUUAGGCCUUACGCUUGUCCUUAUGCUGGCUCUGAGUGUUCGGUUACAGGUGAUAUCCCCACGCUAGUUGUUCAUUUGAAAGAUGAUCAUAAGGUUGAUAUGCAUGACGGAUGCACUUUUAACCACCGUUAUGUGAAGUCAAAUCCACAUGAAGUCGAGAAUGCCACAUGGAUGCUUACGGUAUAGUUUUCUUGUUUAUCAAUAUGGUUUCUUGUAGUGAUGGGCAUUCUGGUUUUUGGUUCGGGUUAUUUGUGUUCGGGUGUUUAAGACCUGUUUAGGAACCAAACAUUUUUUGGAUCGGAUGGGUUCGGGUAUUAUCGGGUUCAGGUCGGUUUUCUAUUUUUUUAUAAAACUCGACGAAUUAGAAAUAGUUUAGGAUUAAUUUGUGUUAAACCCGAAAAAACCAAAAAAUAUUCGGGUAAUUUGGAUAAUUCAGAUUUUUUUAUUUAUAAAUUAUAUUUUAUAUAAUAAAUAUUAACAAUAAUUAAUAUGUUAUUAUAUUUUAAAUAUUGGGUAGGUGUCCGGUUCUCAGUUCUGGUUUGGUUUUGGUUUUCCGGUGUAGAGAUAUAGAAACCGUUUGAGUUUUUGUAAAUUUCGGUUCGGUUUUUGGGUUUAGGAUAAUAUAUGCCCAUGACUAGUUUCUUGCUACACCGUUGAGUACUAUAUCUGAUAGGGGUACUUGGUCUCAUUUUCACAUUAAUCCUCCAAUACAUGUUGCUUUACACUCUAACUUGCAUUCGGUUUUACAGGUGUUCAACUGCUUUGGGAGACAGUUCUGUUUACACUUUGAAGCGUUCCAGCUGGGGAUGGCUCCAGUGUACAUGGCAUUCCUUCGUUUCAUGGGAGAUGAAAACGAGUCAAAGAAGUUCAGUUACAGUUUGGAAGUAGGAGCUCAUGGACGUAAACUAACAUGGCAAGGAAUCCCUAGAAGCAUCCGUGACAGUCACAGGAAAGUAAGGGACAGUCAAGACGGUCUCAUCAUCCCAAGGAACCUUGCACUCUACUUCUCUGGAGGUGAUAGGCAAGAACUCAAGUUGAGAGUGACCGGUCGAAUCUGGAAAGAAGAGUAAACCAAGAAAGAAAUGAUUGAAAAUUUGAUGUACAUAAGAAGAAGCCUCUCAAGGAGAGCUAGUGAUCGUAUGGAAGAUUUGAAAUUGGUUGUCCGUUUUAGUCUGUCAUGAUGGAUUCUUCUCCAAUGGAGAUGAAGAUGAGAUGAUGAUAAUCUUCUAGGAUGAAUCAGUUUGGAGGGAGCCAUUGUUACCAUCUCUGUACUUUUUGGUUUCUUUUGUUGUUGGGUUUGUGUGGUUUCAGACAGGGAAUGUAGGAGAAAGACAUAUGAUUUUGGCUAUGUUCUUGUUGUAAAACCAUGUCCGAAACAGUUUGGUGCAUUUUUUCUUUGUUCACAGUGGUGAUUUUGAUGCAAGAGCAUUAUUGGAACCUUUUUUAGAGACUACAUAGAUGUCAGCUCGCACAGGAAGCAGACAAAGACGCUUUAGUGCUGAGAUGCAUUUGAAUCAAACAAGUAUAAGCCAAACUUACCAUUUCAACCCCCGUUAAUACAUGCUAAACUGUUAGCUUUAUACGUGUCUGUAUUGGCUUCAGUGAAGAAUUGAAGGAGCUUGAAGGUUUCUUAGAGGAGAUGAGGAGACUAUGAAUACAAAAACGUGAAAGAACAAAAAGACUUGUGGCAGUCACAGUCACAGUCACAGGUUAGUCCUUGUUCUAAUCUUCUAACAAUUUCUCACUUUUAUGUGUAAACGCAAUCUCAAACACAGACAUCUACGUUUAAAACAAUCUGAGAUAGAAGGAUAUUUUUGAAGUAUAGUGAUGUGAAAACUUUUGUGGGAAAAUUUAUAACAAAAUAUAUGGUAGCAUGUAUCCCAACUAAAUAAAAUGUCAUUUCAAAGUAUGUAAAUGUUGUCUGAUUUGAAGAAAAAUUGUAAAUUGUCAAGUAUCCAAAGAAGUUUUUUAUUAAACAAAAAAAAUUGUAAAUUGUCAAGUACAAAAACAAUAAAGGCGCCACGAAAAAAACGAGCAAAAACACAUAUAUUUAUACAUGUAUAUUACUCUCAUAAAUCAUUUGGGAUUGUAGAAAAAAUAGAAUGUUCUGGUUUGUGAUGGCAUUCAAAAUCGAGGUGAACAAAAGCUCUUUCCACUUCUGGAAGUUCUUCAAGCUUUAUUUGCAAUGAUUCACCAAUUGCAUGAGCUUCUUUUAAUGGUAAAUCCUCUGGAAG
rnacentral:lncRNA from 1 species